UGGCUCAGUGGUUAAGAGCACUGGGCUGCUCUUCCAGAGGUCCUGAGUUCAAUUCCCAG
rnacentral:tRNA from 1 species